rnacentral:rRNA from 1 species
GACGAACGCUGGCGGCGUGCUUAACACAUGCAAGUCGAACGGAGCACCCUUGAUUGAGGUUUCGGCCAAAUGAUAGGAAUGCUUAGUGGCGGACUGGUGAGUAACGCGUGAGGAACCUGCCUUUCAGAGGGGGACAACAGUUGGAAACGACUGCUAAUACCGCAUGACGCAUUUUGAUCGCAUGGUCGAAAUGCCAAAGNUUUAUCGCUGAAAGAUGGCCUCGCGUCUGAUUAGCUAGUUGGUGAGGUAACGGCCCACCAAGGCGACGAUCAGUAGCCGGACUGAGAGGUUGACCGGCCACAUUGGGACUGAGAUACGGCCCAGACUCCUACGGGAGGCAGCAGUGGGGAAUAUUGGGCAAUGGGCGCAAGCCUGACCCAGCAACGCCGCGUGAAGGAAGAAGGCUUUCGGGUUGUAAAC